rnacentral:rRNA from 1 species
GAUGAACGCUGGCGGCGUGCCUAAUACAUGCAAGUCGAGCGAACUGAUUAGAAGCUUGCUUCUAUGACGUUAGCGGCGGACGGGUGAGUAACACGUGGGCAACCUGCCUGUAAGACUGGGAUAACUUCGGGAAACCGAAGCUAAUACCGGAUAGGAUCUUCUCCUUCAUGGGAGAUGAUUGAAAGAUGGUUUCGGCUAUCACUUACAGAUGGGCCCGCAGCGCAUUAGCUAGUUGGUGAGGUAACGGCUCACCAAGGCGACGAUGCGUAGCCGACCUGAGAGGGUGAUCAGCCACACUGGGACUGAGACACGGCCCAGACUCCUACGGGAGGCAGCAGUAGGGAAUCUUCCGCAAUGGACGAAAGUCUGACGGAGCAACGCCGCGUGAGCGAUGAAGGCCUUCGGGUCGUAAAGCUCUGUUGUCAGGGAAGAACAAGUACCGGAAUAACUGCCGGUACCUUGACGGUACCUAACCAGAAAGCCACGGCUAACUACGUGCCAGCAGCCGCCGUAACAC